AUCCAGCUGACGAGUCGCAAAUAAGACGAAGAGGCGCGCGUCCUGUAU
rnacentral:hammerhead_ribozyme from 1 species